CGCGGAGCCAUUGAGAGCCAUGGGGACGACCACCAGCAAGCCCGCCACCAUCGACAGGGCGUGAGCCGUGCAGUGGGCUAGCAACAACCGCCGGUCCAGCUCCAUGUUAGAAGUCUAAAAACUAAAAUGUGAAGUUAUGGAUCCCAUUUACCCGAGAGACUGGCACCAACCGAGAGACCCAUCUGAUGCUCUUACUGCAUCAAGUAGCAGCUUAGAUGAAGAUCUAGAUUUGGAUGUAGCAACCAAUUUAUUUUCUCAUUAUUUGUUUUUAUUACCGCAUGUUGUUAAAAUAUUUUGUAUUUAUAAUAAUAUUGAAUCAAUAAUUCCUUUAUAUUUUCAUCAUGUUGUAUUAUCUUAAGUUGUCUAUGUUGUAAUCCAUUUUCUUAAUAAAAUCUUUAUAUUUAA